rnacentral:rRNA from 1 species
GACGAACGCUGGCGGCGUGCUUAACACAUGCAAGUCGAACGGAAAGGCCCUGCUUGCAGGGUGCUCGAGUGGCGAACGGGUGAGUAACACGUGGGUGAUCUGCCCCUUACUUUGGGAUAAGCCUGGGAAACUGGGUCUAAUACUGGAUAGGACCAUGCUGUAGGUGGUGUGGUGGAAAGAUUAGUUUCGGUAAGGGAUGAGCUCGCGGCCUAUCAGCUUGUUGGUGGGGUAAUGGCCUACCAAGGCGUCGACGGGUAGCCGGCCUGAGAGGGUGGACGGCCACAUUGGGACUGAGAUACGGCCCAGACUCCUACGGGAGGUAGCAGUGGGGAAUAUUGCACAAUGGGCGCAAGCCUGAUGCAGCGACGCCGCGUGGGGGAUGACGGCCUUCGGGUUGUAAACUCCUUUCAGCCAUGACGAAGCCCUUGUGGUGACGGUAGUGGUAGAAGAAGCACCGGCUAACUACGUG